AAUAUAGUGCCUGAAUUAUUAAGGAUAGUUUUGAUAGAACUAAUAAUGUAGCUUCUAACUACCUAUAUUU
rnacentral:tRNA from 2 species